AUUUUUUGAACCAUUGAUUGAUUUGAAUCAAAUGCUCAAAAUUAAUCUUGUACCUAUCCUCAUCCUUUUUUCCUAUUCGCUUACUUGUUCUUAUGACAUGGAUCACCAUCUGCAUUUUUCGAUGACAUUGAAUCAACGUUUGAGAUUAAUUCUUUUAUUCUUUUUUUUUAAAAUUAUUUUUUUUGUGAGAUCUACGAUUCGAGAAGUGAGAGAGAGAGAAGAGAUGGAGUUUGUAGAUGGCAGAGAAAGGAGAAGACGUGACGUUAUCACCACCACCAUCGCUAGUUACUAUCACCACCAUCGCUGGUUACUAUCACCACCAUCGCCAUCUCUCCCAUCCCCAAUCGCUCGUCACCACCACCACUGCUGGUGGAGCAUACAGGAAAGGCAUCGCCAUCCUGCAUCCGACAGUGUAGUGAACGAAAAGUACCUUAACGCGGGUUCUGGGAAUGAUCUCACUGAGGAAAAUAUGCGCGCGGGCACUCCUAAAUGUUGCAGCUGAGCAGCCAGAUAUGGAGAGGCUCCUUCAGAAACAUUUUACUUGCUUUGGAGGACGUCAACACGCUCUACAAACAAUCAGACACGCUCCUUAAGUUGUCCCAUACUCAAGUUCGUUUAUGCUUUAUAUGGUUUGAGUUGAGUUAAAGUUCCUUUCUUUAAUUAUGUGUGUUGCAGAAGUCCAAGAGGAAUGACUCUUCCAAAACUAUGUCCCAACGUUUGCAAGGUCGUGGUCGUGACUCGUGAGCAAGAGCUAGUGUUGUGCAGAGGAGAUGUCUGGAACUCGUCUCCGUCUAGACUCACACGAAUGUUGCAGUCUUUCACUGGAAUUGCCAAGUGCAGCCUUUGAAGGUAUUGUGACAGUAAAGACUGAUACUUUCUUCUUCUUAGAGUUUUGCUUAUGUCUGCUGAUUCAUUUUUUUUUUUUUGAUAACUGUAAAUUAUAUUUCCAAAAUAAAAUUGGUUACAUGAGCUUCAAGACCAGAGUACUUCUAUGGCCAAAAAAAAUUAAAAACCAGUGAGAAGCUAAGAGUUUGGUGCAGCAAAUUGUUAGCUAAGGUUAGCUAUACUUGAACCAUAAGGAGAGUAAGGUUGUACACCCCUUGUUGCGUCGUCUUGCUAGAAGAAUGUCCUUCGUAACCCUAUCAAUCCUGUUAAAGAUAGCUAGGGGAGUUGAUGGAGGUCUUCCAUGUUUCCUAUCAUUUCUUUCUCUCCAUAUGUGAUAGACUGUAGCUUGACAGACAAUUAAACUGAGAAGCCUUCUCCUUGGUGACCAUCUCUGCUGGAGAAGCCACCCAAUCAUUGCUUGCCAAGAGGUAAAGAAGGUAAGUGGAGCUCCCAACCUCUGUUUCACACGAUCCAUAUCUCCACUGCAAACCUGCAACGCAAGAGCAAAUGAUCCCUAGUUUCCUCAUCAGUGGAGCAAAAAGUACAGGUUCCAAUAUCCAUCAAACCCCAUUGCACCAGUCGCUCAUUCACCGGCAACCUAUCAAGGUUAGCCACCCAGAAGUUAAAGGCGUGUUUAGGAACCAUGUUUUUGAACCAAACCACUUUUGACCACGUUAAAUCUUUAACCACUUAAGAAAGCGCUAUUAUACAUAACAGUUUUACGACCGCUAUUACUACUGCAUAGCAAAAGAUAACUGUGUAAUUGGCUAUCUACUCUAUUAAAAGGAAAAUGCAUUUUAUAUUUGAUCA